AGCUCCAGUGGCUGAGAUGCCGGGAACCCAGGGGGUGUUAGGUCCAGUCGUGCUGUUCUGGGGGGGUGUGGGCAGCAUCUCAGUUGAGGGUCCCUAGCCACCCUUACCAGAAGCAACCAGACGGAAGAGGAGGUACAUGCAGGCAGCAGAGGUAUGCCUGACACCCCAGAGACUCCAUCUAAGUAGAAUGGCCGCUUUCUACACCCACCAUGAGCAGAUUCAGCCUGAGUUCAGGGACUAAGGGAAGCUCAACAGAUUGCGCCAUGGAACCGCCAUCCAGAAAGGCUCUGUGAGCUUCAGCAGCAUUGAAGAGGAAGGAGACACCGUUCUAUGAUCUCCAGAAUAUAUUGGCAUGUGAAUUUUUUCUCUGCCUCAGCUUCUGAUCCUUCCUGCAGCUGUCUCACUGGGCACGGAUCUUACAUAGUAUAUGUUUGUGAGUACAUGUGUGAGGGGGUGUGCUGGAUGAGUGGAUAUUCACUCACUUAAGAAGCAGCAGCACUGUGAGUUGAAUUUGGACUUGACCACCGUUUGACUGCCAGCCCAAACGCUGACUAGCUCUAUUAUUCUGGAUAAGUCACUUAACCUCUCUGAGCCUUCCAGAACUACAGACUGGGGAAAAUAAUAUUUCCUCUCUCUAGAGAUACUGAAAUAACUGCAUGUGAAAGCGCUUUCUACAUGUCAGUAGUUUGCAUCUUUGAAAACUUACCCAGGGCUUACCAGCUCAAAAAAAAAUUAAAAACGGGUUCAAAGGCUGACCAGAUCAGCAUGAGAAUAAUCAUAACCAUGGUGAUAUGACUAAUGAUGAUACUCUUUUCAUUUGAAUGCUACUUCAUAUAAAAUGUCACAGUCAUUUCUCAUGUGUGAUAUAAUUUUACUCCUAUAGAGAAGUGUCCAUUUUCAAUUGCUACUUAGUCUGGAAACUCAUGACUGUGCCUCUUCUUGCUGGGGAGACUGUUUUGGAAAACCAUAUUAAGAUAAUUUGGUUCCCUGGAAUCGGAGCAAGGAAAUUGGAUAGCUCUGUUUCAUCAGGUUUCAGCCGCCUGAUGAGUCACCCCAUCCCUCUUCGGGAAUGUAUCCUCUGAGUGGAACAGACACUCCAGCCAUCGGCAAAGUGUUUCUUAAUUGCCUAUCCCCUUGUGUUGAUUGUGAAGACAUUAUUUUUCUGAUGCCCCUAGUCUGACUGACUCAUCAAAUGACACAAUUCCGGGUGCCUAUGCUCAGGCCUCCUUCAACAAACCAUCCACUCCAGAAUCUCAGAGCCAGAAGGUACUUCUGAAAUAGAGUUUAAGGCCUCAUUUCCACACAGGGAAACUGAAGCCGAGGGAUGCAGAGUGGCUUCCCUCCAGCAGUGAUCAGCCAGAGACAGAAUCAGGCCACCUGCCCCAGUCCACUGUGCUCACCACAGCACUAACAAUGCAUCUCUUCCUUCUCAUUGUCUUUGAUCAAUAUGGCUUUUGCUGCCAGGAUCAGAACAUUUUUAACCUGCAAAGAGCUCUUCAAGGACCAUCUAGCUGAGUUCAUCGUGUUACAGAUGAAGAAACUGAGUAGAGAAGUCGGAAGCCUUCGCAAGGACAGAACCCGUUGCCCUGACUCUCAAUACAGUGUUUCUUAUACAACACCAGUGCAGCUGGUGAGGAAGCUCAGAGGAAAUCAAGGUCAUGUGUGCCUUUAGGCAGCUUGGGAAUGCACUUCCAUUCAGCCAAGGGCGGGUGGGACCUCCAUCCGCCCCACAGGAGGGUGGGUAAAGGAUGCCAACUCUCCACCGAGAGCCAUGCCAGAGACCCUCAGCCUUUCCAGGAGCCUGGGCUCUUCGCAGAGGAGUGCUGUCCUAGAAGCUCAGAGCCAUGACACCUGCUAACCAGUGCUUCACAGCUCACGGCAAUGGCAGGAGAUACCUCAGUGGGACUCCAUGCCUGAGGACCUAGUUCACUGCUACUUUCUAAGUUUGCUGGCUUUACCCUGGGUAUGUGUCUUGAAAUUGAAAAAAAAAAAUCAAAACCCUCAAAUUUUCUUUUAAACAGAACUACGUGAAUUCCUUCACCUUACACCAGAGUUUGGGAUGAGCGUUGGUAGUUAAGACGCAAAAUCACGCCCAAAGGGCUGUCCAUGGCACCACUCUUCAAACAUUUUGGGGUUUACUUCUGUCUUUGUUUUCUUAAUCAAGAAAAGCAAUAUCAUGUAGACUCCAGACCCUGAGUCAAACCGCUUGGAUUCAAGUCCAGCCCCACCACUUACUAGCUGUGUAGUCUUGGGUAGAUUAUUCGACCUCAGUUUCUUCAUGUAUAAAACUCAGGCAAUUAUAAUAGUGCUUACCUCUUGGGGUUGUUUUGAGGACUAAAUCAGUUAAUGCAUGUGAAAUGCUAAAAAGAGUGCUUAAACAUAAAAUUGCUAGCUAAAUGAUCACUAAAGAGGAAAAUGACAUGGUAAGCAUGUCAUCUGUAGCUCAAUGCCACUAUUUAUUUAUUUUAUUUAUUUAUUUUUCCUCUUCUCUUCCUCUCCCCCUUCCAUCUGUCUCUCUCUCUCACUCACCCAGUCUCUCUCCCAACUUCUUGAUAGACCUGGUUAGAGGAUAAUUGGUUUUUUGUUUGUUUGUUUAUUUGUUUAGAGACGGGGUCUUGCUAUGUUGCCCAGGCUGGAGUGCAGUGGCUAUUCACGGGCAUGUCUCACUACUGAUCAGCACGGGAGUUUUGACCUGCUCCGUUUCUGACCUGGGCUGGUUCACGCCUCCUUAGGCAACCUGGUGGACUCCCACUCCCAGGAAGUCACCAUACUGAUGCCAAACUUAGUGCAGACACCCGACCGGCAUAGCUCACUACAGCCCAGAACUCCUGGACUCAAGCGAUCCUCCCACCUCAGCCUCCUGAGUAGCUGGGACUACAGGCACGUGCCACCACACCCGGCAGGAUAAUUGUUUUAUGUGACAAACAGCUUAUACUAUGGGUGGGAGAAUAUUGGUCCUACUAUUUUCUUGUUGUCCUUUUUUAUUGUGAUGUUAAUAUUAUUGUCAGUCCACCGUGGAUUUAUUUAUUUCUUACUUAUUUCUGCAGUAGUCUUUUUCAUCCUCAAAUCUACUUUGUGAGAGUUACCCAAUCUAACUCCAUCACAGAGAUUGGCAAACUCUCUGCAAAGAGCUAGAUAGUAAAUAUUUUCAUCUUGGCAGGCCAUAUGGUCUCUGUAGCAACUACUCUUCUCUGCUGUUGCACUAUGAAAGCAGCCAUAGGCAAAAUGAAUGUGUGGCUAUGUUCCAAUAAAACUUUAUUUACAAAAAUAGGUGGCAGCGCAUAGUGUGUUGACCCCUGAUAUAGACCAGCAGAUCCAUAAAUCCACUUUGCUCAUGGAAAUUGCAAUAGGGAACAGUGUUCCAGAUAAAGAAGGGGCAAAGCCUGCAGGGAAAAGAGCUUGACGUGGGCAGAUGCCUGGCAGGGCCAGGGCUGACUCCGGCUGCAGCUCAGCCAGUCAGAUUCGAACUACCUUCCAGCAGAGGCUCUGGGCAUGAAAGAAGCCUUUCUAGUAAACAGUCCGAAAUAGAAGAGAACCAGAGAGAAGGAAGCAGCCCUGUUGGAUGCCUGGAGGCUGGGCAAACCUCCUCACUUCCACAGGGUUCCUGUCAUAGCGUCAUGGGCAAGGAAUUAGAGUUUCCAGAUACAGGUGAUGGUGGGAACGGUGGCUACAGCCAGGCCAGAGGCUGCAGGGUGAGCAUCAGGGGAAUGAUUCAGAAGUUCAGAUAAGUCUCUGAAUACAGACGGGCAUGGAGGGCAGAGCUCGGGCAGUUUCACUGAGAGGGACGGAGUACCAGAGCACUAUUUUGUUUCCAGAUUGCUAGAAAUCCCAGCAACUGCACUCCCUCCCACAAUUGUACUCAAAUCCAUUGGCCUGGGGAUCAUUGUGCACUGUGGCCUCCUACUCCUGGGCUCAAGAGAUCCUCCCAUCUCAGCCUCCCAGGUAGCUGGUACUACAAGUACAUGCCACCAAGCCAAGACAGUUGGUCAUCUUAAAACACAAGUCUCAUCACGUCACCCCUCUGCUCAGUGGAUUCUCUCCAGUGAAUUCUCACCCUAUUUGGAAUAAAAGCUCAGAACAAAAGGGAUUCAGGAAGGGGAGGAAGGAGGACUUCUGGGCAAAUGGGAACAGUGGGCUCAGAGCUCAUUAUCAUAUCGGCACCAAAAGGUGAUGACACAAGGUGUGGAGCUGAUUCUCCUUCUGUGACCUCACUUGUCUGUGUCUCACUGUUGUCCCACUGUGUUCUGGCUCUGGCAGUGGUAUGUAGUGGACUGGAAAAGUGUUCUGAGUGAAACCUAGCGGGACAGUCUCUCUUGGUGCUUCUGGGCAUGGUGGAGGAAACGUCCCACUCUUCAACUUUCCCAACCAUGACUUAAAACAGACCCAACUCCUGAGCAUCCUCCUCGCCUCUUCCCCCUCACACCCAUAUGUUAGUCUACUGGGACUCCUGCAACAAAAUACCACAAACCGGGUGAAUCAAACAGAAAUUUUGUUUCUCACAGUCCUGCCUCCAUGCCCGAGGACCAGCUCAUCCAAGAAUCAGCUGGAAGUCCAGACCAAGGUGUGGGCAGGGCUGGUUUCUCCCGAGGCCUUUCUCCUUGGCUUGUAGAUGGCUGUCUUCUUCUUAUGUCCUUGCAUGGUCUCCUCUGUGCAAGUCUGGGUACUAAUCUCUUCUUCUCAGGGAGCCAAGAAUAAGGACAGGCCUGGAGGGCAGGUCCCUGGCAAUUUUCCCAAGAGAUACAGAGUCCCAGAGCACUGUUUUGUUUCUAGGUUGUGAUACCGUUUCCAGUCUGUACCCAAACCCAUUGUCUCCUCCAAUGAAAUUAGUCCCACCCUAAUGACCUCAUUUAAUCUGAAUUAUCUUUUUUUUUUAAUCUGAAUUAUCUUUAAAGACCAUAUCUCUGGCCGGGUGCGGUGGCUCACACCUAUAAUCCCAGCACUUUGGGAGGCCGAGGCAGGUGGAUCACUAGAUCAAGAGAUCGAGACCAUCCUGGUGAACAUGGUGAAACCCCAUCUCUACUAAAAAUACAAAACUUACUGGGCAUGGUGGCACAGCCUGUAGUCCCAGCUACUCGGGAGGCUGAGGUAGGAGAAUUGCUUAAACCCAGGAGGCAGAGGUUGCGGUGAGCCGAGAUCGCGCCAUUGCACUCCAGCCUGGGUAACAAGAGCGAAACUCAGUCUCAAAAAAAUUAAAAAAAUAAAUAAAUAAGACCAUAUCUCCAAAUAUGGUCACAUUCUUCAGUACUGGAGGUUAGGACUUCAGCAUGCGAAUUUUGUAGGAUGCAAUUCAACCUGGAACACCCCACAUCCAAUCUGUGAACAAAUCCUGCAGCUCCACCUUCGUGACAUAUCGGGAACCCAGCCGCCUCUUCCCGCCUUCCCUACUGUCUUCCGGGUCCAAGCCAUUGCUGACUGCCAUCUGCACGGACUGCACUUGCCUCCUUGCAGCCAACGGUGCCCCUGAAUUACCUUCUCCAGGGUCUUGCUUUGUCACCCAGACUGAAGUGAAGUGAUGCAAUCUCAACUCAUUGCAACCUCUACCUCCUGGACUCAAGCGAUCCUCCCACCUCAGCCUCUAGAGAGCCGGGACCACAGGGGCCACCACCCCCAGCUAAUUUUUUUUUUUAAUUGAAGACAGGGGUUUCACCAUGUUGUCCAGGCUAGUCUCGAACUCCUAAGCUCAAGCUAUCUGCCCACCUCAGCCUCCCACAAUGCUAGGAUUACAGACGUGAGCCACUGCACCCUGCCAACUAUUCCUUAAAGGCAUGACUUACUGCCAAAUGAGAGGUUUGGACCAGAUGUUCAGAGAAGGGAAAGAAGGGUUGGGCCUCCAAGGUGGACUGAUCCAUAAGAGGCAGAGACCAGAAACAAGGCUCUCGCAGAGAGACUGGACCAGCAAGAUGGAGGGCAUGGUGGAAGCAUGGGGGUGCAUCUUGGUAGAAAGAAAGCUUUUGGAAUUUGGGACUGGAGUUUCUGUUCUGCCAUUUAUUAGAGAUUUCAGGGAUUUUUUUGUUUUAACCUUCUCUGCACCUCAGUUUCCUCCUGGGUUAAGGGAAUUAUAUUAUCUAUCCCAUAAGCUCCAUAUAGUAUUCAGACCACAGACAUCUGCAGAGUCUACUUACGCAAAGCCCUUUUGAUAAGCUCUGGAGUACAAGAGGAAGAGAAGGGCCUGCCCUCCAGAGCUACCACAUAAGGAGGGGCAGUCAACGCUGGUCCCCCUCUUCAUUUACCUUCCAGGGAUCUGUCAUUUUAAAGGAGCGGUGGGCAGACCCAUGAGACACCUCCAUGGAUUCCAGGACAUGGGUUCAGAAGUUUGGCGACAGAACAAGCUCUUCACCAUCGACAUCGGAAGGUUCCUGCCUCCCUCUCCCAGGUUCUGUGAGGAAAUGUGUCUGUCCCUCUGGAGCUCCUGAUUUUCAAGGCUUUUCCCCUGAGCUUUGAUGAAGUCCGGGGGAGCCAGCGUCAAAGUCACACUCUAGUCACCUGCGAUCAUUACCCAAAGCACCUGCAGCGGACUUCAAUUCGCUUCAUCUUUUUAAUUGCAAAAGACAACCGCUAGGGGGCCUGGGAGCUAGAGACUGAGCUCUGAUUCCAUUUAUCAGGCAAAAUGCCUUUGCUUCUUGCCGAAAAACGCACUCAAGGUCGACAAAACACACACCGUGGGCUGAGAACAAUACCUUCUGCACCUUCUGCAAACCCUUAGUGAAGAACGCACCUUCUGCAAACCCUUAGUGAAGAACGCAUCUCCCUUGAGGCUACAAAAUAUUCUUAACUCAGCCCAUCCUCCACAUCCUAUCAGGCUGGGCCAAGGGUUUCUCAGCCCUGAUUCCAUUUUUCUGUGCUUCCUUCUGAUUAAAAGCCCUUUGGCGCAGCAGGAUUGUCUAUAAUAAUAGUAAAUGGCUCACAUGAUGAUGAGGCAAUCCUUUCACAUCGUGAGCUGCAAUCCAUCUUGUAAAGCCUUGCAACGGCCUAAAUUACAGCCCUGGAUUUUCAGCAAAGUCAUGGAGUGGGGGGAUUUGCUUUAUCCUCCCUCCCCUCCCAGUUUCCCUGCACCUUAUGCAGAGGCUUGAAGGUCUGAUGUACUGUACUUACCUAUAGCAAUCCUCAUUAAAAUCAAUCAAUCACUUAUUUGCAAAAAAAAGAAAAAAGAAAGAAACAAAAGAGAGAAAAAAAGGAAGGAAGGGAGGGACGGAAAGAAAGAGAGAGAGAAAGAAAGAAAAGAAAGAAAGAAAGAUCUCUACCUGGAAAAAAGAAUUUAAAAAAAAAAGGAAAGAAGAAAAAAAAUUCUCAGGCCCCUAGGAGCCUCCAGGGUCACAGUGACUCAAGUCCCUGUGACCAAAAUUGGGUGGCAAAACUUGUUUUUCCUUAGCAGGAGUCUGCUUUUGCAAAGGUUCAUCUCUUUUGUUUGAGACACUCGUGCACACUCCAGCAACAAUGGAAAUGAACAUAAUUUCCCAAGCAGGUUGCCUAGAAACCACUCCUGUGUUUCUGAAACUAAUUUAAACAUGAAAAUUCAGCUCCUGACUCAUGCCAGGAAUGCACGUCAUAAUUUUCUUAGUAUUUUACUUUCUUUUUCUCUCACAUUACAAAAUAAUGCAUGCUCAUUGCAGAAAAAAAAGUAAAAAGAAUAUGAAAAUAUAGAGGUCCAGAAAGCAAAGAAUCUCCUGUAAUCUCAUUAUCAGAGGCAACUGCUGUUGUCAUUUGGGAAUAUUUUCUUCUAGGCUUUUUUUUCCCGUGCAUUUUUAACAUCAUGGAGAUUAAUACAGAUUUUACAUUGAGAUUAAUACUGAAUUUAAUUAGCAUAUCAUCUGCAUUUCUCCAUCUGGUGAAAUUUUCAGAAACUUGAUUUUGAAAAGACUGCAUUAUAUUACAGUUCAUUUUCCCAAUAUUAACCAUUUUUAAAUGCUAGAUGUUUCGGUUUUUUUUUUUUUUCUUUUUUUUUUAUCCACUGGGC